UCGUAAGAGAAAACUCCGAGAAGAUGGA
rnacentral:sRNA from 1 species